rnacentral:rRNA from 1 species
AUGAACGCUAGCGGCAGGCCUAACACAUGCAAGUCGAACGGUAACAUGAGUAGCAAUACUUGAUGACGAGUGGCGCACGGGUGCGUAACGCGUAUGCAACUUACCUCUAACUGGGGAAUAGCCCUCCGAAAGGAAGAAUAAUACCCCAUAAUAUUCGAUGUGGCAUCACAUUGUUCUUAAAGCUUCGGCGGUUAGAGAUGGGCAUGCGUCUGAUUAGCUUGUUGGUGAGGUAAUGGCUCACCAAGGCAACGAUCAGUAGGGGGCCUGAGAGGGUUAUCCCCCACACUGGUACUGAGACACGGACCAGACUCCUACGGGAGGCAGCAGUGAGGAAUAUUGGUCAAUGGACGAAAGUCUGAACCAGCCAUGCCGCGUGCAGGAUGAAUGCCCUAUGGGUUGUAAACUGCUUUUAUAUAGGAAUAAACCCCCUCUCGUGAGAGGGGCUGAAGGUACUAUAAGAAUAAGGACCAGCUAACUCCGUG